GAUGAACGCUGGCGGCGUGCCUAAUACAUGCAAGUCGAGCGAACGGACGAGAAGCUUGCUUCUCUGAUGUUAGCGGCGGACGGGUGAGUAACACGUGGAUAACCUACCUAUAAGACUGGGAUAACUUCGGGAAACCGGAGCUAAUACCGGAUAAUAUUUUGAACCGCAUGGUUCAAAAGUGAAAGACGGUCUUGCUGUCACUUAUAGAUGGAUCCGCGCUGCAUUAGCUAGUUGGUAAGGUAACGGCUUACCAAGGCAACGAUGCAUAGCCGACCUGAGAGGGAGAGCGACCACACUGGAACGGAGACAAGGUGCAGAGUCCUACGGGAGGCAGCAGUAGGGAAUCUUCCGCAAUGGGCGAAAGCCUGACGGAGCAACGCCGCGGGAGUGAUGAAGUUCUACGGAUCGUAAAACUCUGUUAUUAGGGAAGAACAAAUGUGUAAGUAACUAUGCACGUCUUGACGGUACCUAAUCAGAAAGCCACGGCUAACUACGUG
rnacentral:rRNA from 1 species